rnacentral:rRNA from 1 species
UACGUAGGGGGCGAGCGUUGUCCGGAUUUAUUGGGCGUAAAGAGCGUGUAGGCGGCCAGGUAGGUCUGCUGUGAAAACUCGAGGCUCAACCUCGAGACGUCGGCGGAAACCAUCUGACUAGAGUCCGGAAGAGGAGAGUGGAAUUCCUGGUGUAGCGGUGAAAUGCGCAGAUAUCAGGAAGAACACCCGUGGCUAAGGCGGCUCUCUAGUACGGUACUGACGCUGAGACGCGAAAGCGUGGGGAGCGAACAGG